AUUGAACGCUGGCGGCAUGCUUUACACAUGCAAGUCGAACGGUAACAGGCCGCAAGGUGCUGACGAGUGGCGAACGGGUGAGUAAUGCAUCGGAACGUGCCCAGUCGUGGGGGAUAACGCCGCGAAAGCUGCGCUAAUACCGCAUACGAUCUAUGGAUGAAACCGGGGGACCGUAAGGCCUCGCGCGAUUGGAGCGGACGAGGUCAGAUUAGGUAGUUGGUGAGGUAAAGGCUCACCAAGCCGACGAUCUGUAGCUGGUCUGAGAGGACGACCAGCCACACUGGGACUGAGACACGGCCCAGACUCCUACGGGAGGCAGCAGUGGGGAAUUUUGGACAAUGGGGGCAACCCUGAUCCAGCAAUGCCGCGUGCAGGAAGAAGGCCUUCGGGUUGUAAACUGCUUUUGUACGGAACGAAACGGCUCCGGUUAAUACCCGGAGCUAAUGACGGUACCGUAAGAAUAAGCACCGGCUAACUACGUGCCAGCCGCCGCAGUAACAC
rnacentral:rRNA from 1 species